UGCAUAUCCAAAAAGCGGAGGAAAAGAAACCAACAGGGAUUGCCUUAGUAGCGGCGAGUGACAGGCAGAGCUCAGAUUUGAAAGCCUUUCGGGGCAUUGUAUUCUGAAGCCUUGGUCCUGGGAAACCGAUGUCUAAGUCUUCUGGAAAGGAGCGCCAUGGAGGGUGAUAGCCCCGUACGACAUUGACCCCACUGUAGGACCUUGGCAUGGAGUCGAGUUGUUUGGGAAUGCAGCUCAAAUGGGUGGUAUGCUCCAUCUAAAGCUAAAUAUCUGCGAGAGACCGAUAGCGAACAAGUACUGUGAAGGAAAGAUGAAAAGAACUUUGAAAAGAGAGUGAAAAAGUACGUGAAAUUGUUGAAAUGGAAGGGUAGGCCGCUAACCACGUAGAGUCGUGUCUGGGGGGAAGAUAAAAGCUGAAGAAUGUAACUCCUCGGAGUAUUAUAGCUUCAGUCCAUAUUCCCACCCGGGCGCGAGGACUUAAGACUCUGCUAAAUGGUGGUCUACCACCCGUCUUGAACCACGGACCUA
rnacentral:rRNA from 1 species